AACGCACCUUGCGCCCUUUGGCUAUUCUGAAGGGCAUGCCUGUUUGAGUAUCAUGAACACCUCAACUCUCGUGGUUUUCCAUGAUGAGCUUGGACUUUGGGGGUUUGUUGGCCUAUGGUCAACUCUUCUGAAAUGAAUCAGCUUGCCGGUGUUUGGCGGCAUCACGGGUGUGAUAACUAUCUACGCUCGUGGUUGUUGACCAGGUACCCUCCGGUUUCGGAGGUUCGCCGGAGCUUACAAAUGUCUCUCCUCAGUGAAGACAACUACUUGAAGUUCGAUCUCAAAUCAGGUAGGACUACCCGCUGAACUUAA
rnacentral:misc_RNA from 1 species